CUGGAGGUAUCAGAAGUGCGAAUGCUGACAUAAGUAACGAUAAAGCGGGUGAAAAGCCCGCUCGCCGGAAGACCAAGGGUUCCUGUCCAACGUUAAUCGGGGCAGGGUGAGUCGACCCCUAAGGCGAGGCCGAAAGGCGUAGUCGAUGGGAAACGGGUUAAUAUUCCCGUACUUGGUGUUACUGCGAAGGGGGGACGGAGAAGGCUAUGUUGGCCGGGCGACGGUUGUCCCGGUUUAAGCGUGUAGGUGUGUGUUCCAGGUAAAUCCGGUUCACUUUAACACUGAGGCGUGACGACGAGGCACUACGGUGCUGAAGCAACAAAUGCCCUGCUUCCAGGAAAAGCCUCUAAGCAUCAGGUAACAUCAAAUCGUACCCCAAACCGACACAGGUGGUCAGGUAGAGAAUACCAAGGCGCUUGAGAGAACUCGGGUGAAGGAACUAGGCAAAAUGGUGCCGUAACUUCGGGAGAAGGCACGCUGACACGUAGGUGAAGUGAUUUACUCAUGGAGCUGAAGUCAGUCGAAGAUACCAGCUGGCUGCAACUGUUUAUUAAAAACACAGCACUGUGCAAACACGAAAGUGGACGUAUACGGUGUGACGCCUGCCCGGUGCCGGAAGGUUAAUUGAUGGGGUCAGCGCAAGCGAAGCUCCUGAUCGAAGCCCCGGUAAACGGCGGCCGUAACUAUAACGGUCCUAAGGUAGCGAAAUUCCUUGUCGGGUAAGUUCCGACCUGCACGAAUGGCGUAAUGAUGGCCAGGCUGUCUCCACCCGAGACUCAGUGAAAUUGAACUCGCUGUGAAGAUGCAGUGUACCCGCGGCAAGACGGAAAGACCCCGUGAACCUUUACUAUAGCUUGACACUGAACACUGGUCCUUGAUGUGUAGGAUAGGUGGGAGGCUUUGAAGUGUGGACGCCAGUCUGCAUGGAGCCAUCCUUGAAAUACCACCCUUUAAUGGCUGGUGUUCUAACGUAGACCCGUAAUCCGGGUUGCGGACAGUGUCUGGUGGGUAGUUUGACUGGGGCGGUCUCCUCCUAAAGAGUAACGGAGGAGCACGAAGGUUGGCUAAUCCUGGUCGGACAUCAGGAGGUUAGUGCAAUGGCAUAAGCCAGCUUGACUGCGAGCGUGACGGCGCGAGCAGGUGCGAAAGCAGGUCAUAGUGAUCCGGUGGUUCUGAAUGGAAGGGCCAUCGCUCAACGGAUAAAAGGUACUCCGGGGAUAACAGGCUGAUACCGCCCAAGAGUUCAUAUCGACGGCGGUGUUUGGCACCUCGAUGUCGGCUCAUCACAUCCUGGGGCUGAAGUAGGUCCCAAGGGUAUGGCUGUUCGCCAUUUAAAGUGGUACGCGAGCUGGGUUUAGAACGUCGUGAGACAGUUCGGUCCCUAUCUGCCGUGGGCGCUGGAGAACUGAGGGGGGCUGCUCCUAGUACGAGAGGACCGGAGUGGACGCAUCACUGGUGUUCGGGUUGUCAUGCCAAUGGCACUGCCCGGUAGCUAAAUGCGGAAGAGAUAAGUGCUGAAAGCAUCUAAGCACGAAACUUGCCCCGAGAUGAGUUCUCCCUGAGACUUAGAGUCUCCUGAAGGAACGUUGAAGACGACGACGUUGAUAGGCCGGGUGUGUAAGCGCAGCGAUGCGUUGAGCUAACCGGUACUAAUGAACCGUGAGGCUUAACC
rnacentral:rRNA from 1 species